rnacentral:rRNA from 1 species
GACGAACGCUGGCGGCGUGCUUAACACAUGCAAGUCGAACGGAAAGGCCCUGCUUUUGUGGGGUGCUCGAGUGGCGAACGGGUGAGUAACACGUGAGUAACCUGCCCUUGACUUUGGGAUAACUUCAGGAAACUGGGGCUAAUACCGGAUAGGAGCUCCUGCUGCAUGGUGGGGGUUGGAAAGUUUCGGCGGUUGGGGAUGGACUCGCGGCUUAUCAGCUUGUUGGUGGGGUAGUGGCUUACCAAGGCUUUGACGGGUAGCCGGCCUGAGAGGGUGACCGGCCACAUUGGGACUGAGAUACGGCCCAGUAUCCUACGGGAGGCAGCAGUGGGGAAUAUUGCACAAUGGGCGGAAGCCUGAUGCAGCAACGCCGCGUGCGGGAUGACGGCCUUCGGGUUGUAAACCGCUUUCGCCUGUGACGAAGCGUGAGUGACGGUAAUGGGUAAAGAAGCACCGGCUAACUACGUG